AGACAGAGGAUGCAAGCGUUAUCCGGAAUGAUUGGGCGUAAAGCGCCUGUAGGUGGCUUUUUAAGUUCGCUGUCAAAUACCAGGGCUCAACCCUGGACAGGUGGUGAAAACUACUAAGCUAGAGUACGGUAGGGGCAGAGGGAAUUUCCGGUGGAGCGAUGAAAUGCGUAGAGAUCGGAAGGAACACCAACGGCGAAAGCACUCUGCUGGGCCGACACUGACACUGAGAGACGAAAGCUAGGGGAGCGAAUGGGAUUAGAGACCCCAGUAGUCCUAGCCGUAAACGAUGGAUACUAAGUGGCUGUGCGUAUCGACCCGUGCAACGCUGUAGCUAACGCGUUAAGUAUCCCGCCUGGGGAGUACGUUCGCAAGAAUGAA
rnacentral:rRNA from 1 species